GCUUGUGAGGUCCUUUCUAAUUAACCACAUGGUACCAAGUUCUGCUAAAGGAUACAUGUACAUGAAGACUGCUGCAGAGAACUAGAAGUCACUCAAAGACGCAUAUUCUGAAGCCGGUAAUGAAGCUCAGAUUUACAAAUUGAAGAACAUCCAGGAAUUGAAGCCGGAAGGUAUGACGGUGCCUCAAUACUCUUCAGAACUGUGCAGUAUGUGGCAAGAAGUCGAUGUUAACAAGUGGGAUGAGCAUAAAGAUUUGGAUGCUGAAGUGAUUACUCGCUUACAGGCUUAAGAGGACAAGAACCGAUUUUAUCGGUUCUUAAUGGGUUUGACAGGGGCAUUCAGCAUAGUGAGGCAGAAUGUCCUGCAGAGAGACCUUUCCAACCUUUCAACAGGCUU
rnacentral:lncRNA from 1 species